UAUUAUUUUUGAUGUAAAUUUUUUUUGACUUGAGUAGUAGUAGCUAUGUUCUUGAAACUUAAAGAAUUUGGCGGUAUCUUAGUCUUUUUAGAGGAAUCUGUCCCUUAAUUCGAUAGUCCGCGAAGGACCUUACUUAAUUUUUUAAUUUGUAUACCGCCGUUAUUAAAGAUUUUUUUAGAAUUAAUUUUUAGUAUUUUAUUGAAUAUUUUUCAGGUCAAGGUGCAGUUUAUAAUUGAGUGGAGAUGGAUUACAUUGUUUUAAAAUAUACGGAUUAUUUAUUUGGAUUUGGAUAUUAAGGUGGAUUUAAAGGUAAUUUUAUUAAGAAUGUUAAUGUGAUUAUAGCUCUAAGAUAUGUACAUAUCGCCCGUCAUUCUCAUUUAUUGAAGAUGAG
rnacentral:rRNA from 1 species